UACGAAGGGUGCAAGCGUUACUCGGAAUUACUGGGCGUAAAGCGUGCGUAGGUGGUGAGUUAAGUCUGUCGUGAAAGCCCCGGGCUCAACCUGGGAAUGGCGAUGGAUACUGGCUCGCUAGAGUGCGGUAGAGGAGAGUGGAAUUCCCGGUGUAGCAGUGAAAUGCGUAGAGAUCGGGAGGAACAUCAGUUGCGAAGGCGGGUCUCUGGACCAGCACUGACACUGAGGCACGAAAGCGUGGGGAGCAAACAGG
rnacentral:rRNA from 1 species